rnacentral:rRNA from 1 species
ACUCCUACGGGAGGCAGCAGUGGGGAAUACUGCACAAUGGGCGCAAGCCUGAUGCAGCCAUGCCGCGUGUAUGAAGAAGGCCUUCGGGUUGUAAAAGUACUUUUCGAUAUGUCAAAGUGAGGGAACGGAUUGGGUUAAUGUUAAACUUUAACGGCAUUAAGCUCAUUUGACGUUAGCUGCAGAAGAAGCACCGGCUAACUCCGUGCCAGCAGCCGCGGUAAUACGGAGGGUGCGAGCGUUAAUCGGAAUUACUGGGCGUAAAGCGCAUGCAGGUGGUUUGUUAAGUCAGAUGUGAAAGCCCGGGGCUCAACCUCGGAAUUGCAUUUGAAAACUGGCAAAACUAGAGUACUGUAGAGGGGGGUAGAAUUUCAGGUGUAGCGGUGAAAAUGCGUAGAGAUCUGAAGGAAUACCGGUGG